GGACUACCCGGGUAUCUAAUCCCGUUUGCUCCCCUAGCUUUCGCGCCUCAGCGUCAGAAGAGGUCCAGCAGGUCGCUUUCGCCACCGGAGUUCCUUCCAAUAUCAACGCAUUUCACCGCUCCACUGGAAGUUCCACCUGCCCCUACCUCACUCAAGUCGAUCCGUAUCCCAGGCACUUUUCCGGUUAAGCCGAAAGAUUUCACCCCGGACGUAAUCGACCGCCUACGCGCCCUUUAAGCCCAGUGAUUCCGAACAACGUUUGCACGGUUCGUCUUACCGCGGCUGCUGGCAC
rnacentral:rRNA from 1 species